AUUGAACGCUGGCGGAAUGCUUUACACAUGCAAGUCGAACGGUAGAGGGGGCAACCCCUUGAGAGUGGCGAACGGGUGAGUAAUAUAUCGGAACGUGCCCAGUCGUGGGGAUAACGUAGCGAAAGUUACGCUAAUACCGCAUACGAUCUAAGGAUGAAAGCGGGGGAUCGCAAGACCUCGCGCGAUUGGAGCGGCCGAUAUCAGAUUAGGUAGUUGGUGAGGUAAAGGCUCACCAAGCCAACGAUCUGUAGCUGGUCUGAGAGGACGACCAGCCACACUGGAACUGAGACACGGUCCAGACUCCUACGGGAGGCAGCAGUGGGGAAUUUUGGACAAUGGACGCAAGUCUGAUCCAGCCAUUCCGCGUGCAGGAUGAAGGGCCCUCGGGUUGUAAACUGCUUUGUACGGAACGAAAGGUUUGUCUUAAUACUAGGAGCUCAUGACGGUACCGUAAGAAUAAGACACCGGACUAACUACGUGCCAGCA
rnacentral:rRNA from 1 species